CAGAGAUUAAUGGAGCAUUUAACCUGGCCCCUGUCAGUUUGCUGUAGCCUGAGCAGCUCCGUAGAGGAAGGUACUUAUGUUUUAUCUUCUUUGCCAGGAAACAUCCCAAGGCAUUGAGGGAGAAGAAGAGAAUUCAGAAAAUAUGGAUCACAAUUGAGGAGCGAGGAUCAAUGGGCCCUCUGCCAACACAUUUCACGAGCUACUCCAUCAACAGGAACAGAGGCACGAUAGGGAGUUGUGCAGCACAAAGCAAACCACAAAUCCACACGAGCCUUGACAAAUCUCUCUUUCUCACUAAUGCAGAAACUAUCUGAGAGAUAAAUAGAAACGCUGGUAGUUUUGAAGGAGAUCCACCCAGCAAGGAAGUUCAGCAUUGUAGCAAAUCCAUGUUGUUGUUUUUCAGGCUGUGGCAGGGUGUUCCCUUUCUGGGUUAUGUAAGGUCUAAAAAACUGUUAGUGGUUCAUCAGGGUGGAUUUCUCUGGAGUCAAAUAACCAGUCCCCCCCAGAGGAAGGUCUGUGUGUGACCAGUCCGUGGCCUGGUGUGGAUCAGGUUCGCUGCCUGUGUGUGUCCCUGCCAUGGACCCCCUCUGGUGGGCCGAGGUGAUGGAUGACGCCUGGAAGCUCUGGAGCUGCAGAGUGGUUCAUACGAGUUCCUGUCCGAGCAGAGUUACAACCGAUGUACCAAGUGUAAGACCAGGAUGGAAAGCCCAGUUUGGGUUGCAGCCUUUUACUUGUGACAUAUCGACCCCAAUGAAAAUGUUCAUCCAUCAAUCUACAACACAGGUAUGAGUUUACAGACCAGACUAAAAAACUUUAAAAAAAAAACUUUACAAAAUUUAUUAAAUAACUUUUUUCAUCUGGUGAAAUGUAUGAUGCGUGGAAAGUGAUUUCUUACAAAACCAGUCUGUCUGUUGAGAAUACUUCUGCAUAGAGCUACACAAUGAGCCUUUGUUUUAUACAAGUAAGUGGUGUAGCAUGCAUUUUGUCUAUUGUUUUACUGUUAGUCUUCUGAUAGUGCAGCCCCAUCUUGAUGAAGAAUAUUUGGUAAUUUAAAGUAUCAAGCCAUAAAUCAAAGACCGUAUAUAAGAAGUGGAUGUAGUCACCGUGACGUCACCCCUGCCGUUUUGAAAUUUUGAGUUCAGCAUUUUGUCCAUCACCAUCAUGUUGUUUUUUGCAUCCAUAAGUGACACAAAAGGGUAAGCUAAUUACAACCGAACGAUGAAUAAGACAUUUUUGGGUGACUAAGUAAUGGAUUAAAGCUGAAGUACGUGAGAUUGGAGCAA